GCGCGGGUGAUCUAGUGGUUAGGAUGUCUGCUUUACACGCAGAAUAUCGUGGGUUCAAUCCCCGCUCCGCGUA
rfam:Phytomonas sp. isolate EM1 genomic scaffold, scaffold_45